GAUGAACGCUGGCGGCGUGCUUAACACAUGCAAGUCGAACGGUGAAGGCGGAGCUUGCUCUGCUGGAUCAGGGGCGAAAGGGUGAGUAACACGUGAGCAAUCUGCCCCUGACUCUGGGAUAAGCGCUGGAAACGGCGGCUAAUACGGCAAAUGACCUGCAAGGCCGCCUGCUGCAGCCGGAAAGGACUUCGGUCAGGGAUGUGCUCGCGGCCUAUCGGCUUGUUGGUGAGGUAGCGGCUGGCGAAGGCGUCGACGGGUAGCCGGCCUGGGAGGGUGGCCGGCCACACUGGGCCUGCGACACGGCCCAGACUCCUACGGGAGGCAGCAGUGGGGAGUAUUGCACAAUGGGCGCGAGCCUGAUGCGGCGACGCCGCGUGAGGGACGACGGCCUUCGGGUUGUAAACCUCUUUUAGCAGGGAUGAAGCGAUAGUGACGGUACCUGCAGAAAAAGCGCCGGCUAACUACGUG
rnacentral:rRNA from 1 species